ACCCCGUCUCCCUCUCCCAGUCUCUCACCCCCGUCUCCCUCUCCCAGUCUCUCACCCUCGUCGCUCUCUCGAUCUGCAGCUCCGCCCACUCCCCGGCCUCCCCUGUCUCGCCGGCGUGGCCUCUGGCCCGACCCGCCACCGCCUGCGUGCCCCCGUCGCCCCCACCCCCGGGCUCCCCCGUCCCGGUGGGGCGGCCCGCCUCCCCCCCCCCCGGUCUCCCCCGUCCCGGCCCCACGCCCCCGUUCCUCUCCCCGGCCUCCCCCGUCCCGCCGGCGUGGCCUCUGGCCCGACCCGGCACCGCGCCCCCGCCCCUCUCCGUCGCCCCCACCCUUGGGUUCCUUCACGCAGGCAAGAACAUGAUUUCGUCUUCAAUGUUUCAUUAUAACUAUGGUGGGAUUCAGGCUAAAACGCAAAAUGUAACAUCUGAGGGCGAUUCAGAUGGUGACAAUGAUAUCGUCAUUGUGUCAAGCUGAAACAUAGCAGAAUACCUGCCCAAAGCUACAUAGGAUCACUUUGUCUUGAUCGUAUCAGAGUUCAUAUAUAUUCCAUGGAAAUACAUGAAAGAAGGAGUAACUAAACGAGCAGCUACAAGGGAGGAACUGUGACUGCCAGGACAAACAAUUAUGGAGCAAAAAUUUGGUUUUGAAGCAGAGAAAACUUGACAAACAACAGUCUUUUGUUGUUUUUACUUUUUCUUGCUGAUGUUUCCGAACUACAAACACAUUCUGCAGUACUCAGAGACCUGUGUGGAACUCAGUGAGAAAAGAAAGUCUUAGUGGAAACAAAUGGGCCUCAUAUUGCACGUAUAUCUGUUUUUGAGGGACCAUGGAUUCGAAAUCUUUGCUCGAUGAGAUGGACAAGAAGAUGCACUUGGAGAGGGAGGAGAUGGACAAGAAAGUCAGCAACGAACGUGCAGCCAUAGACAGGGUGAUAAAGCAUGAGCGGGACAAGAUGGACCUCAAGAUCAAGCAAAUUGAUGCAGAGACGGAUAAGAAGUUGACGUUGGAUCGUCAACAAAUGGACAUUAAGGUAAAGCAAGAACGUGCAGCCUUGGAUCAUGCAUUGAAGCUAGAGCGUGAUAAAAUGGUCAAGGAGAUAAAGAAGAUCCGUAAGGACAUGGAUCAGAAGUUGCGGCAGGUGUGGGAUGAGAUGGACCACACUGUACAGCUUGAGCGUGCAAAGAUGGACUCUAGGAAUAUGCAGGCACGUGCAGACAUUGAUCAAAAAUUGCAGCAGAUCGUCAAGAGAUGGAUUCGAAAUCUUUGCUAGAGCAAGUCCGCAUGGAAGCCAAGAUGAUGGAGGACCGUGCGAGGAUAGCUCCAAAGGCUACCGCCGAGCAAAUACAGUUGCAUAGCCCUCCACCUGAAGAACCGGUCUCAUAUUUUCUCCCGGAACUUGUAAUGGAAUUUAGUGUUACCGUGGAUGGGGAAAUUUCUUAUAGUCCGAAAGGAUACUUCGGAGGACGUACCGGUUACAUGAUUGUUAGGGAACCUGACGUUGUGGAGUGGUCGAUGAUGAUGAACCAUUUGCGUGUUCAUGGUUAUAAAUGGGAGGCCGAUUUGUACUACCUUGAGCCUGGUUGCAUACCACCUGACGGAAUGGUCUUAAUGUCAGGCCCAGAGCAUGUAGAACAAAUGAUGCAGGCUCAUAAAGGCAAAAAGAAGUGUCAGUUGUACAUCAUCAGGAAUGGUUCACAGUCAGAUGAUUGUGAUGAUGGCAUGAAUGAAGAGGAUCAAUUUGACCAUUUUAAUUCGUGAGAGCCCAUCGAUAGAUGGGACGAAGGGCACACGCACAAACAUGGAUCAGCUCCACUAAUGGAGCAACCAGCAUCGAAAUCUCAUAAGAAGGCAUUGACUUAUAGCAGUGGCGAUGAGGACUUGGACUCGUAAUCAUUCCGCAUUGAGAAAGAACUAGAUGUUUCAACGGUUUUUUUAGCACGAGAGUUUUUGACACUAUCCAUAGUGACAUUUACUACAGCUUAUGUUUUGCAGCCAGUAAUUGCUGUUUUUUAUGGGCUAUUUUCAGCAUAUGUUUUGCAACCAGUUUUCUUCAUCAUAAGUGUGGAAUAAGCAUUCUUUUGUGUAAA